AUGCUACCACCUUUCUUGGGAGAGAGGAAAGCCUGGGCCUGCAGGGCCAGUGAGCGUCCAGUCUCAGCCCGAAUUGCCCUGCGGCAGUUAGAAUGGGGGAGUACGGGGAAGGGCCCGGUUUUCACAGAGGAGCAGCUGGUUCUGGUGGAAUUGUCGGGAAUUAUCGAUUCGGACUUUCUCUCAAAAUGUGGAAAUAAAUGCAAGAUUUUGGGGAUUGAUACUGAGAGGCCCAUUCUGCAAGUGGAUAGCUAUGUCUUUGCUGGGGAGUAUGAAGAUACUCUUGGGACUUGUGUUGUAUUUGAAGAAAAUGUUGAACGUGUGGAUGCAGAAGGCAGUAACAAAACAGUACUAAAAUAUAAAUGCCAUACAAUGAAGAAGCUCAGCAUGACAAGAACUCUUCUGACGGAAAAGAAGGAAGGAGAAGAAAACAUAGGUGGGGUGGAAUGGCUGCAAAUCAAGGAUAAUGAUUUCUCCUAUAGACUCAACAUGAUUUGUAGUUUUCAACAUGAAGAUGAAGAAGUGGUAGCUUCAGCCCCAGAUAAACCUUUAGAGUUGGAAGAACAAGAGAUUCAAAUGAAAGACAUUUCAAACCUGAUUAUGAACAGGAGAAGCCAGUGCACUUGGAAAUAGAGGAUUCUGGACCUCUUAUUGAAAUUGAAAUCCCUGGAUUCUUCUCUAAAGACACUGAAUAA